rnacentral:rRNA from 1 species
CCUACGGGAGGCAGCAGUGAGGAAUAUUGGUCAAUGGGCGCGAGCCUGAACCAGCCAAGUCGCGUGAGGGAGGACGGCCCUACGGGUUGUAAACCUCUUUUGCCGGGGAGCAACGGGCGCCACGUGUGGCGUCACUGAGAGUACCCGGAGAAAAAGCAUCGGCUAACUCCGUGCCAGCAGCCGCGGUAAUACGGGGGAUGCGAGCGUUAUCCGGAUUUAUUGGGUUUAAGGGGUGCGUAGGCGGAUCGUUAAGUCAGUGGUCAAAUUGAGGGGCUCAACCCCUUCCCGCCAUUGAAACUGGCGGUCUUGAGUGUAAGAGAGGUAUGCGGAAUGCGUGGUGUAGCGGUGAAAUGCAUAGAUAGAAGGAGGAACACCAGUGGCGAAGGCGGUCUGCUGGACAGCAACUGACGGUGAGGCGCGAAAGCGUGGGGAGCAAACAGGAUUAGAUACCCCUGUAGUC